rnacentral:rRNA from 1 species
AACGAACGCUGGCGGCAGGCCUAACACAUGCAAGUCGAACGAUCCUUCGGGAUAGUGGCGCACGGGUGAGUAAUGCGUGGGAACCUACCUUUUGGUACGGAAUAAUAUUUGGAAACGACUGCUAAUACCGCAUAAUGUCUACGGACCAAAGGGGGCUUCGGCUCUCGCCUUUAGAUUGGCCCAAGUGGGAUUAGCUAGUUGGUGAGGUAAUGGCUCACCAAGGCGACGAUCCCUAGCUGGUUUGAGAGGAUGAUCAGCCACACUGGGACUGAGACACGGCCCAG